rnacentral:rRNA from 1 species
UACGGGGGGGGCAAGCGUUGUUCGGAAUUACUGGGCGUAAAGGGCGCGUAGGCGGCCUGUUAAGUCACACGUGAAAUCCCUCGGCUCAACCGGGGAACUGCGUGUGAUACUGACGGGCUUGAAUUCGGGAGAGGGAUGUGGAAUUCCAGGUGUAGCGGUGAAAUGCGUAGAUAUCGGGAGGAACCCCAGGGGCGAAGGCGGCUCUCUGGGCCUUUCCUGACGCUGAGACGCGAAAGCGUGGGGAGCGAACCGG